rnacentral:tRNA from 3 species
CGGAGCGUAGCACAGCCUGGUUAGUGCGCCUGUUUUGGGAACAGGAGGUCGAGUGUUCGAAUCACUCCGCUCCGACCA